rnacentral:lncRNA from 10 species
UUGUAGCGAUGGGGUCUUGCUAUGUUGCCCAGGCUGGUCUCAAACUCCUAGCCUCAAGCAAUCCUCCUGUCAGCCUCUCAAGUUGCUGGGAUUACAGGCAUGAGCAACUGUGCCUGCUGUGGCUGUACUUUUUUUUUUUUUUUUUUUGAGAUGGAGUCUUGCUCUGUCACCCAGGCUGGAGUGCAGUGGAGCAAUCUCGGCUCACUGUAAGCUCCACCUCCCAGGUUCAUGCCAUUCUCCUGGCUCAGCCUCCUGAGUAGCUGGAACUACAGGCGUCCACCACCAUGCCCGGCUAAUUUUUUUGUAUUUUUAGUAGAGACGGGGUUUCACCUUGUUAGCCAGGAUGGUCUCCAACUCCUGACCUCGUGAUCUACCCGCCUCGGCCUCCCAAAAUGCUGGGAUUACAGGCGUGAGCCACUGCACCCGGCUGGCUGUAAUUCUUUAAAUAAAUGUGCUUUUUAGCACUGUGCUGCUUGACUAGGAUAAUCUUUUAGAAUAUCCGAGAUUCAGUCCUGUUUGUGCGUAGAAUGUAGAUGUGCCUCUUUUGAGUGGCAGUGGUCUCCUUGCCCGAGCUGGGCUGGCCCAAGUGGUCCGUGUGUCUGGGGGACAGAGGUUGGGAGAGGGAGACUUGGAGCAGGCUCAGACUAGAUAUUCUGCUGGGCUGGAGAUCAGGGCUGGGGUUGGCUCUGGGGAGGGCCAUCUCCACAGCUGCUUCCUUUCUUCCCAGUGACACUGUGGCACCCAGCUCGACGUUCUGCAAGGUCUACACACUGACCCCCUUCCUAGCCAAUAACCGAGAGAAGCGGGGCCUCGCCUUGGACGGGAAGCUCAAGCACGAAGACACGAACUUGGCCUCUAGCACCCUGUUGAGGGAAGGUGCCAACCGUGAGAUCCUGGGGAUCAUUGUUUCCUACAAAGUGAAAGUGAAGCUGGUGGUGUCUCGGGGCGGCCUGUUGGGAGAUCUUGCAUCCAGGUAAAUUCCUCCCUUCCACCUGGUUCACCCACCUUCCUGGAGGGCCUGGAGCCCAUUGGCUUGACUGACCAGAAUCACAGGGCACUGGGUUGGAAGGAAUCUUAGUGGUCAUUUCAGAUAGCCAGGUUCAGGUGUGAGCUGGGAGACACAAUUUCUCCUUAACAAACCUCACCUUGCUCUUCCAUCCCACCUGAGUGACAGGGAUCUUUACAGAGAGCAAAGCCUGAUUACACUGAUACAGGGAGUGGCCCCCAAGAGAGCUGUCUGAAUUACUGAUCACCUGAAUUAUAGGAGCUUUUGGAGAAAUGCAGACUUCAUGGCUUUCAAACUUCUACACUAGUGAGGAGGGAACUGCUGGCCAAGUGUUGCUAAGGAGAGGUCCUCAGGAGAUCCUAUUUUGUAAACAAGGUCUCCUUGCAGCCAGCUGGAUGCACUUAUAUUCCAAAAAUGCAUGUACCCCAAACACAGCAGUUUGGCCUCCUUCUGUCACAAGAUGGCAGUGUGGCUCAUCCUAAGAAAUCUUAAACUAAUUUGACAGGUGAAAUUCAUUCAAUUCAAUUCAGUUCCAUAUCAUUCAGCAAAGAUUUCCUCAACCCAGGCUUGCGUCCAGGCUGGUGCUGAGUGCCAGAGUCCCAGAGAGGAAUCAGAUGUGGUCCCUGACCUUAUCGUUCCUGGCCCGGUAGAAGGUUAAGAUCCAGAUUCUUCCACUAAAAUGUUGGCAAACCCAGUCUUCCACCAGCUCCAUUCUGAAGCAAUCCCCAAAGCAAAAGG